UCCAAACUAUUAUUUUAUUGAUUUAGCUUUCUAUCAUUGUUUGCCAGUAUUGUCAGGUUUCUUUAGUCUAAGGGAAUUUAAUCAAUUAUGCUCUUUGGUUCAUUCAAAGAAUGAAGAAAAAAAAUAUGGAAAAAAAAUCAAACCACUUAGGAUGGCUUCUAGUCUAGUUUUAGAAUUAAUUCUAAUUAGAUGAUCCAAAGUUUGCUACUAGAUGAUUCUGUAUAAUGAGUAACACUGUGCUGUUCUCAUCUUUCAGAUAAGAAUUCACCAUUCUCCAUGGUGUUGGCAACUAAAGAUCUUGGGUCCAGAAAGGAAGCUGCUGUCCAGUUUUACAAAAGGGAAACUUUUAUUCAUAGUAAAUUCUUUUUCUGAGAAACAUAGACCUGCUAUUUUUAAUUUGAGAUCUGUAUUUCUUAUAAUAACUUUAGUUUCAGAUGGUAACUAUUAUUUCCUUUUUAAGUAAAAGAAGUGUACUGAUUUAUCUUUAUUUUUGCGUACCAAAAUAUUUUUUGUAUUUUUUGAUAUUUAUGCCUGAUAUAUAUCUUGUACAGUAGAUCUAACAAAAAACAAAGCUGUAUUUGAAUCAAACUCAGAAAUAAAAUUUUUGAAUCACAAAAUCACAAAAUCAAAGAAUGUCUUGGGUUGGAAGAGACAUCAAAGAUCAUCUAGUUUCAGUCCACAUGCCACAGACUGUGUUGCCAACCACUAGAUCAGGCAACACAGAGCUGCAUGUAACCUAGCCUUGAAUGCCUUCAGGGAUGGCUCAUCCACAGCUUUCCUGGUCAACAUGCCUUACCACUCACUGAGCAAAAAUUUCUUCCUAACACCUAACUUAAUUUUUUCCUCUUACACAUUAGAGCCAUUCCCCCUUGUCUUAUCACAAUCAAACCAUGUAAAAAGUCGUGCCUGUAAGCUCCCUAUAAGUACUGGAAGGUCACAAUGAGGUCUCCUCGGAUUCUUUUCUUCUCCAAGCUAUUGGUUAUAUUCAUCCUCUAGAAUGAAUCUGAGUUUUUCCCUUGCUGCUUCCUAAAGUGACAGCACUCCCUGGCUCUUCUCUUUCACUCAGCAGUACAUCUCUUCCCUCAUCAAAUCUAGUUUACAGCUCUGGUGAUAAGCCCAACCAGCUUGCUACCUGAUAUGUUUUUGCCCUCCUGGUCAGUUGCAUCCCAACAUGCCUUGACAACUGAAGAUACAUCCUAGAUUAUUGAAUCCAAAUCCCUGAGCUUGACACCAUCCAUGCAGAUACUCAUUUAAUUGCUUUUUUCUCCUUUUGCCUGCUUCCCAGUCUCCAUCUGGGAGGACUGAGGAGAGCACUACCUGUGCUCCUGAUCUCUUCAAAUUCUUCCCAAGGGAUGUAAAGUCUCUUAAUAUUUUCUAAUUUCCUUGUUGCAGCCUCUGAUGAUCCACAUUGAAAGAUCAGGAAUGGACAGUAUUCUUCCAGCUUUAUCAUAUUUGUAGUCUCUCCCUGAUGUCCUGAGCAUGAGCCCCUGACAGGCAGCAAAUUUCUUGAGAGGGAUUAUUCAGGCAGCUAAUGGGUGCUUCACUGCUCCUCAGUGUGGAGCCCCCAUUUACUAAGAAUCUUCCCCUUCUUUUGCUGGCACUGUUUCUGACAGUUUGAAGCUUUCCUGUUGUAUCACAACAGAGAUUUGCCACAUUGCAUAUCUGCAACAUGAUUCUGUAACGUUUCAUCUAACCAGUCAAACUCAUUUGACUGCUUAAGAACAAUUUUUUGAUUACUCAGUUUUUCAUUUAUAAAAAGGAUAUAAGACAUUUUUACAUGUCCCUAAGGAAGAUGUUGGGGGUCAACCAGUCCCUUUUUUUUUUUUAACCAAAUAAUUUGACUUCUGUUUGUCUAGUCUCAAUCAAAAUCUGAUGAAAGGCUGUAUGUAUGUAUGUUUUUAAUUUAAAGGAAAAAUGUGUAGAAUGCGUGAUUCAAAGAACUCCCCCCUCCCCCCCCCAAAAAAAAAUUGCCAAAUAAUUACUUAAAGAGGAGAAUGGGAGUGAGAGUUUUAGCACUUCAUUGAAACAAAGAGUUAUUUAUUAUUCCAUUGAUUUCUAAAUGAUAACAAAUACUACAACAAAGAGAGAUUUACAGAUCUACUAUCUAUGCAAGGGAAAGAAUCAUUAUCCUAAUAAGAGGUUGACGAGAUUGCUUCCUACCUAAGGAGAAAGUAAAAUAAAUUUGGGGAAAUAAAUAUUAAACUAGUCUAGAUUUUUAUUUUUUAAGACUUCAAAGAAAAGAUAUAUAAAACAACAUAGUCCACUAAAGGAGAGAAAAUAAACUGAGACUGAAUCCUGCAUACUUUGUUGAGUGGGAGCAAAUCUGAUGAAUGACUGAAAGACAGAUAUUCUGAUGCAACUUUAAGAUGUAGAUUUUUUAAUUCCAUCUUUUAUAAAGAUUUAUCACUGACUUGACCAUUUUGAAUGCUAAAUGUUGAUAUUUUUGUGUUUACUAGAAGAUGGCAUAAAAUAUGUGCAGUUUAAAGUCAUGGGGUAGCAAUAUAAGAUUUAUUCAAAGGAGUGAUCAUUGAGUCCAACUUCUCUACUAAUGCUGGUUCCCCACAGCAGAUCACAUAUGAAAUCAUUCAGAUGGGUCUUGAAUAUCUCCAGAGAAGGAGACUCCACAACCUCUGAGCAACCUGUUCCAGUGCUCUGUUACCCUCACAGUAAAGAAGAUAUUCCUUGUGUUCUUAUGAAACUUCUCGUGUUCCAGGUUGCUCCCAUUGCCCCUUGUUCUGUCACUGUACACCGCUGCAAAGAGCCUAGACCCAUUCACUUGACUGUUGCACUUGUAUUUAUAAACAGUGAUACAAUCUCUUCUCAGCCUUUUCCAGGCUGACCAGUCCCAGAUCUCUCAGCCUUUUCUCAUAAGAGAGAUACCCCAAGCCCCUAACCAUUUUUGCAGUACUAUCCCUUGAUCCCUGAUCCUCAUUUUAUCCUCUGUCUUUCAGAUCUGCAUGGGCUGAAGAUUAACUGAAGCUACUUACACCAGAAUUAGCAUUACUUUGAUUUCAUCCUCAGAGAAGAGAGUACUUUCAGUUUACAUAUGCUAACAGACUACCAAAUCUUACUGAUAUUCAAGGCUUUCCCCUAAAACCACAUUUCCUUCUGAUGAACAAAAAGUACAGAACAGUCAGUUGAUUCAUAUUUAUAAUCAGGCCCUGUUUAGGUGUCAUGGUUUUGUGAUUUUUGGUUUUCUGUGUUCUACAUCAUAACACCAUGUAGUUCACUGGGAGAUAAAGUGCUAAUGCUCUAAUUCUGGA